AGAGUUUGAUCCUGGCUCAGGGUUAACGCUGGCGGCGUGCCUAACACAUGCAAGUCGAACGGUUCUAAGCGCGAGCUUAGGAUGGUGGCGAACGGGUGAGUAAAAGGUAGGAAUCUACCCCUUGGACGGAGAUAGCUACUGGAAACGGUAGGUAAACUUCGAUAAGCCCGAGAGGGGAAAGUGGUGAGACAGCCGAGGGAUGAGCCUACUCUCCAUCAGGUAGUUGGUGAGAUAAAAGCUUACCAAGCCGAUGACGGAUAACCGGUGUGAGAGCAUGAACGGUCACAAGGGCACUGAGAGACGGGCCCUACUCCUACGGGAGGCAGCAGUGGGGAAUCUUGGACAAUGGGCGAAAGCCUGAUCCAGCGACGCCGCGUGGAGGAAGAAGUCCUUCGGGAUGUAAACUUCUGAACUAGCCGAAUAAAAGGCCUGUGGACACACAGGAGAAGAAAGUAGGCUAGGAAAAGUCCCGGCUAACUACGUGCCAGCAGCCGCGGUAAGACGUAGGGGGCAAGCGUUACCCGGAAUUACUGGGCGUAAAGGGGGCGUAGGCGGUAAAAGAAGUCAUCUGUGAAAACCUAUUGCUCAACGAUAGGCUAGCGGAUGAAACUGAAUUACUUGAGGGCACCAGAGGUAGACGGAAUUACCCGAGUAGGGGUGAAAUCCGCAGAUACGGGUAGGAACGCCGGUGGAGAAGUCGGUCUACUGGGGUGCACCAGACGCUGAGGCCCGAAAGCUAGGGGAGCAAACCGGAUUAGAUACCCGGGUAGUCCUAGCCGUAAACGAUGCUCACUAGGUGUAGGGAGUGAUAAACUCUCUGUGCUGAAGCGAACGCGCUAAGUGAGCCGCCUGGGGAGUACGUCCGCAAGGAUGAAACUUAAAUGAAUUGACGG
rnacentral:rRNA from 1 species